AUGCAAAAACCGAGCCGGGACAAAGGCUUCCAACGGGAGCGGGACAUUUGUCUACAUUUCGCUCAUUGUCCGCAGCUUAGCAAUCGGUUUGUAUUUGUGUUUGCCCGGGUCCGACCACCCAGGACGCGCCGACGAGGGGCUCGCUCUAACCUGGGGCAUUGUCACCCACGUCACAUACUGGGGGCGAGGCAGCGAGGGCUGCAGAAAGCCGCCGAGCGGCUCAGGGAGAGGCGCCCUCGCCGGGCGCUGGCAACUCGGGGGCGGCCGGGGCGCGGAGGCCGCAGCUGCGCACGGGGAGGCCGGGCGCCCGCGCUGCGCUCGCGGCGAGGAGGCGGCCAGACCUGGACCCCCGCCGCGGCCUUCUCCGUUCCCCGCUCCCCGGGCAAAGCACAGUUCAGACGCUUCUCUGGGGUGGACGAGCAUCAGGUAGCAAACCUGCCCCCCCCCCCCCCGCCAAAAAUACAAAACUGGAAGGAGGGGCGGGGCUGCGGCGAGGACUUUUCCUCGCCGGCCCCGGACAGAAGGUGCCUUCCCGGGAAAGUUCAGUUUCAACCUCACGCAAGCUGGGAGCCUGCGGCGUGUCCUCGCAACACGCCCCUGAGGCAUCCGAAAGGACUCUCUGCGGAGAAGAAAACUCCACAGAGAAAUCAGCAGCACCUCCCGCCCUGCGACCCCCUCCUCCGCCGUUUUGGGGUCCUCGCCCCCCUGGAGACCGCGCCCGCGCCCCGCCACCCCUCCCCUCUCUCCGCCCCCGCUGGAGGCUGCAGAGGGAGGCAUAAUAGGGGCAGGGAGGGCGCGGGGCCGUCUGCCCUUUCCUCCACACGGAAGGCGCGGCCCGCGGGCCCGGAGGUGGUGGGGCCGGGGCCGAUCGAGGCUCGGGGAAGACGUCCCAACUCCCCCUUCCCCCGCCCCUCCCCGGGCGUCCGCACAGCGCCAAGAGAACGGUGCUGUCCUGCUCGGCUGCACGGAGCUGGAGGGGGAGAGGGGAGGCGGGGAGACGGAAAUAAAUGUCUUUAG
rnacentral:lncRNA from 1 species